ensembl:lncRNA
AUGAAAUCUGAGUUUCACUUAAUCCUCAGAACCACGAUUGAGGCGCUUGUUCCUACUCCCAUUUUAAGACGCGGGCUGCAGAGAGGGCAAGCACCCUCUCCACACAGAGCGAACACGACGGGUAGGGCUCAAGUCCAGGAGGUUCCCAAGCCCCCGUGCCGUUGGUGCCACGCGGUGCUCCCACCCAGCCCACUCCGCGGGAGAAAAACUACAGGCCUCGGAGGAGGAGCCGCUCCUCGCAGUUGGGUGGGGCAGAGGCCGGCGCGAGGCCUUGCUCGCUGGAGGAUUUCCGCAGGCCUGAAACAGGCAGGACCGGAGCCCAGCAGGCGGGCCCGGGCCUGCGCAUUCAGAACCCCCGACGAGCGACCGCUAAGCGGGUGGGCGCGCACCGCGGGGCCGGAGGGAAAGGCCCAGACCCUGCGGGGAAGGCCACGCCCCGAGUGGGAGCGCUUCCUUCCAGAUCCCGGCCUCUCGCUGCAAUUCGUUUUAAGGGCAGCCCUGCCCGGUUCACACCUAGCCUUGAAGAUGACGGAUUGCACGGAUGUUAAGGAUGGCAAGAGAGUUCAACAGUGUGAAAACAGCUCACAGAUCACAGAAAUAAAGCAUUGCAUGGGCCUAAAAGGAUGAGCAGCUGUCUUCGCAAAAGCAGUUUCUGGAGAGAAGUAACAGACAGUCUUGCCCUGUGGUCCAGACCGGAGUGCAAUGGCAUGAUUGCAGAUCACUACAGCAUUGAACUCCUGGCCUCAAGCGAACCUCACGUCUCACCUCACAAAGCACUGGGAUUACAAGUGUGAGCCACUGUGCCUGGCCUUACCUAUGUACCUCUAUGUUGUCUAUGUGGUGAACAUGUUUGUAUUCAGUCAAUAUUCGUUGAGUGUCUACCAUGUGUGUAGCAUUUUGCUAAAUUAGGGGCUCCCAUCAGUUGUUCAUUAUCAAAUAAUUUAAAGAAACUCACUUUCUGCCUCGUCUGGGAACUUAUUCAUGCUUUAAGAAGCAGCUCACACUAGCUUCUCUUGAAGGCCUACCUGAACACAUCAGUCAGACAUUCAUCAGCCUCUGUUGUAAGUUUCUGUCUGUAAUACAUCUAUCAUAGCCUAACCCAUGGACCAUGUUUAUUUGUUAAUAUGCUUGUCCCUUUCUGCUAGACUGUGAGACUAUGAAUUUCAUGCCAUCAAAGGUUCCUUGUCCGUCACCCAUCAAAUAACACGGUGAUUAUGUCAGCCUGGCUCUUAGUAGCAGUUCAUAAAGUUUACUUGGUACAUGAAUCACCGUGUACCAGCAGUUCUAGGUAAAGCAGAAAGUUCUUCUCCUUUAAAGUCACUCAAAAAUUUAAAAGGUAUUACUGAGUUCCUGCACACUUUGUGUGUAUUAUCUAAUUUAAUCUUACUGUAAUUUACUUAGCUUGGUAUUAUUUCAUUGGCCCCUUCAUUUAUAAAACUGCUCAGAGAGGUGGAGUAGCACUCCCAGUAUCACUGAACUAGUAAGGAGUGGGACAGGAGAUAAAAUCUCAUCUGCCUGACUGUGAAGCUGUGUUUAUUACACUGAGUUACUCUGACUUCCAUAUAUAAGGAUGCCGACAUCUUACUCUGUCAUUAUCUAUUUGAUUCUUUGCAUUUCUUUUUUUUCCUUUUUCAAUCGUGUUCCUUCUCUGCCUCCCUCCCUCCCUCCCUUCCUCUUCUUUUUUUGAGACAGAGUCUCCCUCUCUCACCCAGGCUGGAGUGCAGUGGCACCCUCUUGGCUCACUGCAAUCUCUACCUCCCAGCAGGGUUAAGUGAUUCUCCCUCCUCAGUCUCCUGAGUAGCUGAGAUUAUAGGUGUGCACCACCACACCCGGCUAAUUUUUGUGUAUUAGUGGAGAUGGGGUUUCGCUGUGUUGGCCAGGCUAGUCUUGAACUCCUGACCUCAGGUUAUCCACCUGCCUUGGGCUCCCAAAGUGUUGGGAUUACAGGCAUGAGUCACUGUGUCCAGUUAAACAUUUUAUUUCAACAACAUAUAAUAUUGUAGCGAUCUCCCAGCCACCAAAUUAAUUACAAAAAUAUGAACUUUUCUGGAUCUGGGUAUACAUGCCACCUGCUAGUAUUUGGUUGGAGAGAAAAUUUCUCAGCAUCUUUCCAUAUGGUGGUAAUGAAUACACUCAGCAUCCACAGGUUUUUAGGCAUCCUGAGGAGGAGAGCCCACCCAGGGUUGAAAAUGUCCUUAGAGCUUGAGAGUUUGGGCUCAGGAGAGUCUAGGAAAAUGCCCAAGGGCUACAUGUAUGUGACAGCCAGGCAGAUCUCUGAGAGUGUUUAUUCCGAUAAACCUUAACCCUGAAAGCUCUGAGGUAAGUUCUCAGUGUCUCAACAGAAAGAAAUAUGCAGCCUGGGAGAUAAACAGGGAAGAUAUUAACCCAGGAAGAUCGUGAGCUCCCCUUUGGAUUAAAUGUUCCUCCAAGGCAAAGACAAAGUCCCUUACAUCAAAUGAUGUGGUAUUUGCAUAUAACCUGUGCUCACACUCUCACAGACAUGAAAUAAUCUCUAGAUUAAGCGUAAUAUCUAAUACAAUGUAAAUGCUAUGCAAGUAAUUGUUAUACUUUAGUGUUUUUAAAGUUUGUAUUAUUUUUUGUUACAUUCUUGCUUUUUAUUUUUUUAAGUAUUUUCCAUCUAUAGUUGGUUAAAUCUGUGGAUGCAAAACCAGUGGAUAUGGAGGGCUAAUUAUAUUGACAUAAAAAAUCGAUUACUCUAGAUUUUAAAAUUAAGGUAUAGAUUAUGCCCAGCAAGGAUGACACAAAGGAGAAGCUCUGGAACUCAGAAUACUUGCAUAAACAUUUGCAUAAAAUCAUUUUUAAAGAGGCUCUAACAGCAUAGAGGAAAAAGCAGCAUGGCUUUAUGAAUAGCGAAACGGCAGGGCAUACACUCUGUAGAAUAGCUCCAGAUGGUGAGAGCACAAGGCUACAUCUUCUAUUACCACAACUUCACCAACAGCUAAACUGGUAACCUUGUAGUAAAGGGCUGCCAGCAACACACUGCAAACCGACAAAAGCCCCAUAGCACACUGAACCGCUGGAUUGUAUCAUGCUCUGCAGGUAGAGCAGGAAAAUCCCACUUACCAUGUCAUCCUACACAUGUGCUAUCCCACGUGUGUGAAGCUCAGCCUACAUGUAGCCUGAGAUUCCACAGCUCAAAUCAAAGUGAACAGGGCAUAUGUCUGAAGGCAGGAAAGCAAAAUACAAAGACAGCCACAAUUUCUGACAAACUAGCCAUAAAAAGGUCAUUUUUCUUAUCAAACCAAUUAAUCUGUUUAGCUCAACGGAUUCUUUGAGACGGUAAAACUGCGCAAGUACUGAGGAAAGGAUCAGCUUUCCUUUGAAAAUUGAGAAUGCUAAGAUUAUUGCAGAUAUAUGACAUUCAUGUUGAAAUGUUUUUUUGUUUCAAAAGCUAUACAUGGUAAUUGCAGAAAUAACUAGAAAAUAAAGACAAUAGCUUUUAAGAAAUGCCAAUAUUUCUUCCCUUAAAAGAUAACUUUUAACAUUGUGGUGAAUAUAUUGUGGGCCCACAACAAUGGGUUGAUGCUGUGAAUAUUGUUUUAUACUUUUUUUUCACUUAUAAAGAUAUUGUGAACAAUUCUCCAUGAUAAUAUGUAUUUUAAAAUUAAUUAAAAUAAAUCACAUACAUAAAAGUAUACCUACUGUAUCAUAUCAAGGCAUAAUUUAACAUUUUAAAUGUAUAGUAUUUAAUUUCUGGAAAUAUAUAAUAAUUUAUUUAGCUAAUUUAUUUAUUUAUUUAUUUUUUGAGAUGGAGUCUCACUGUCACCCAGGAUAGAGUGCAGUGGUGUGAUUUUGGCUCACUGCAACCUCUGCCUCAUGGGUUCCAGCGAUUCUCCAGCUUGAGCCUCCCAAGUAGCUGGGACUACAGGCAUGGAGGUUUCAUCACGUUGACCAGGCUGAUCUAGAACCCUUGACCUCAGGUGAUCUGCCUGUCCCAGAGUGUUUUGUUUUUAGAAAUACAAGAUUUCCCUACAUCUCCCCUCACUAUUAUUAAAAAAUGCAAAAGAAUAUCAAUGGACAGACUGUACGUCUUUGCUCGUAUCCCUAACUUAUGUCCUUAGGAUUACUAUUAGAAUUGGAAUUACUGGUUCAAUGAGAUGGAUUUUCUAAAGGUUUGCCAACAGCUUUCUGGAAUAAUCAUGACUGGGUAUACUCCUACCCUCAGUGCGCAAGAUUAUAUGAAGAAAGGGAUGUUGUGUCAUUUAGGAGUUGCAAAGAGUUUUCUUUCUCCGGAAAGCAUGUGCAUUUCUUUAAGCAUGAAUUGCCUGAAUAAGUCUCUUGGCUUUUUAAAAAAUUUUUUUCUACUGGGAUGUCUUUGCGUUGCUAUAAAGGAAUACCUGACGCUGGGUAAUUCAAAAAGAAAAGAGGCUCACGCCUGUAAUCCCAGCACUUUGGAAGGCUGAGGCGGGCGGAUCACAAGGUCAAUAGAUCAAGACCAGCCUGGCCAACAUGGUGAAACCCCGUCUCUACUAAAAAUACAAAAAUUAGCUGAGCAUGGUGGCGUGCCCCUGUAAUUCAGGAGGCUGAGGCAGGAGGAUCGCUUGAACCUGGGAGGCGGAGGUUGCAGUGAGCCGAGAUCGCACCACUGCACUGCAGUAUGGCUACAGAGCAGGACUCCAUCUCAAAACAAACAAAUACAUAAAAGAAAAGAAGCUUAUUUGGCUUAGGUUCUGUGGGUUGUACAUAAAGGGUAGCACCAGCAUUUGCUUCUGUUAGGGCCUCAGGCUGCUUCCACUCAUAGCCGAAGGGAAAGGGGAGCUGGAGUGUGCAGAUGUCACAUGACAAGAGCAGAAGCAAGAGAGAGCAGAGGGAGGUGCCAGGCUCUUUUUACCAACCAGUUCUGGGUGGAACUAAUAGGGUGAGAGUUCAUUUCUGUGAGGACAGCUCCAGGACAUUUAUGAGGAAUCUGCCCCUUUGACCCAAGCACUUCCCACGGGGCGCUACCACCAACACUGGGGAUCACAUUUCAGCAUGAGAUGUGGUGGGGCCAAGCGAACCGCGAACCGUGUCUAAACCACAGCAUGGGUUAUACGCUUUUUCUUUUCAAUUAUGCUAUCUUCUUACAUAAUAAUGAAUACAUCAUUUAUCUGAUGUAUGUGAAGGAAUUUUUCCUAUUCUGUCAUUUGCCUUUGAAAUGUUUAUGUAUAUUUUUGUGUGUGCAGUUAAUCCUCAUUAUUCAUGGAUUCUGUAUUUGCAAAUUUGCUCACCAAAAUUUAUUUCUCCUUUUUUUUUUUUUUAAAUUUUUUAUUGGAUUUUAGGUUUUGGGGUACAUGAGCAAAGCAUGCAAGACAGUUGCGUAGGUACACACAUGGCAGUGUGCUUUCUUUUCUUCUCCCCUUCACCCACAUUUG